rnacentral:rRNA from 1 species
GACGAACGCUGGCGGCGUGCCUAAUUCAUGCAAGUCGAGCGCAGGAAAUCAUCCGAACCCUUCGGGGGGACGUUGAUGGAAUGAGCGGCGGACGGGUGAGUAACACGUAAAGAACCUGCCCUCAGGUCUGGGAUAACCACGAGAAAUCGGGGCUAAUACCGGAUGGGUCAUCGGACCGCAUGGUCCGAGGAUGAAAGGCGCUUCGGCGUCGCCUGGGGAUGGCUUUGCGGUGCAUUAGCUAGUUGGUGGGGUAAUGGCCCACCAAGGCGACGAUGCAUAGCCGGCCUGAGAGGGUGAUCGGCCACACUGGGACUGAGACACGGCCCAGACUCCUACGGGAGGCAGCAGUAGGGAAUCUUCCACAAUGGACGAAAGUCUAAUGGAGCAACGCCGCGUGAACGAUGAAGGCCUUCGGGUCGUAAAGUUCUGUUGUAAGGGAAGAACAAGUGCCGCAGGCAAUGGCGGCACCUUGACGGUACCUUGCGAGAAAGCCACGGCUAACUACGUGCCAGCCGCCGCGGUAA